AUGUCUGGAGCAACCGCCGCGGGCGCGAUCGCCGCUCUCCUGCGCGCCCACCGCUUGCCCAUGCUGCAUUCGCCGUUCGCGUGCUCGCUCGCCGCGGCCCGCUCACUGGGCGCGCAUCUCCCUCUCCGCGCCGCGGCGGCCGCCGCGCCGCUCUCCUCACGCCUCCCCCUCGUGCGCCUCCGCUCCGGCGCUUCGCCGCGCUUCUUCUCCUCCUCCUGCGGCGCCCCUGGCAACGCUGUCUCUUCCUCGGCGGCGGAGCAUGAUGAGCCGCGGAAGUCGGAGCUCAUCUUCCUCGGCACUGGCACCAGCGAGGGCGUCCCGCGCGUCAGCUGCCUCACCGACCCCUCCAAGACUUGCCCCGUUUGCACCAAGGCAGCAGAGCCGGGGAACCGGAACCGAAGGCGCAACACCUCCAUUCUCCUGCGUCAUGUCACGCCGUCUCGCACUUCUAACAUCCUCAUCGACGCUGGCAAGUUUUUCUACCAUUCCGCGCUCCAGUGGUUCCCUGCUUUUGGGUUGAGGGAGAUUGAUGCUGUCAUUAUUACUCAUUCUCAUGCUGAUGCAAUUGGAGGCCUUGAUUGUCUUCGUGAUUGGACGAACAAUGUCCAGCCCUCCAUCCCAAUUUAUGUGGCACCGCGUGAUUAUGAGGUGAUGAAGAUGACACACCACUAUUUGGUCGACACAAGUACGGUUAUACCUGGUGCAGCAGUUUCAACAUUACAAUUCAACAUUAUGAAAGAGGAACCAUUUACUGUUCAGGAUCUUGAGGUAAUUCCUUUGCCUGUAUGGCACGGUCAGGGUUACCGUUCCCUUGGUUUCCGUUUUGGUGACAUAUGCUACAUAAGUGAUGUCAGUGAUAUACCUGACGAAACCUAUAAACUUCUGGAAGACUGUCAACUUCUUAUAUUGGAUGCUCUUAGACCUGAUCGUUCUUCUUCAACACACUUUGGAUUACCUAGGGCCCUCGAGGAAGUCAGGAAAAUCAAACCAAAAAGAACGCUGUUUACCGGGAUGAUGCAUUUAAUGGACCAUGAGAAAGUGAACGAUGAUCUUGCCAGGCUGAUGGAAACAGAGGGGCUUGACGUCCAGCUUAGCUAUGAUGGUCUCAGCACACCUAGACAGAGGGAAGAAUGA
rnacentral:rRNA from 1 species